UCUCGAAUAGCUCAGUCGGUUAGAGCAUCUGACUGUUAAUCAGAGGGUCGCUGGUUCGAGCCCAGCUUCGAGAGCCU
rnacentral:tRNA from 1 species